AGAGUUUGAUCCUGGCUCAGAUUGAACGCUGGCGGCAUGCCUUACACAUGCAAGUCGAACGGUAACGGGUCCUUCGGGAUGCCGACGAGUGGCGAACGGGUGAGUAAUAUAUCGGAACGUGCCCAGUAGUGGGGGAUAACUGCUCGAAAGAGCAGCUAAUACCGCAUACGACCUGAGGGUGAAAGGGGGGGAUCGCAAGACCUCUCGCUAUUGGAGCGGCCGAUAUCAGAUUAGCUAGUUGGUGGGGUAAAGGCCUACCAAGGCAACGAUCUGUAGUUGGUCUGAGAGGACGACCAGCCACACUGGGACUGAGACACGGCCCAGACUCCUACGGGAGGCAGCAGUGGGGAAUUUUGGACAAUGGGCGCAAGCCUGAUCCAGCAAUGCCGCGUGCAGGAAGAAGGCCUUCGGGUUGUAAACUGCUUUUGUCAGGGAAGAAAUCUUCUGGGCUAAUACCCCGGGAGGAUGACGGUACCUGAAGAAUAAGCACCGGCUAACUCUGUGCCAGCAGCCGCGGUAA
rnacentral:rRNA from 1 species